AGAUUGAACGCUGGCGGCAGGCCUAACACACGCAAGUCGAGCGGCAGCACGGGUACUUGUACCUGGUGGCGAGCGGCGGACGGGUGAGUAAUGCCUAGGAAUCUGCCUGAUAGUGGGGGAUAACGCUCGGAAACGGACGCUAAUACCGCAUACGUCCUACGGGAGAAAGCAGGGGACCUUCGGGCCUUGCGCUAUCAGAUGAGCCUAGGUCGGAUUAGCUAGUUGGUGGGGUAAUGGCUCACCAAGGCGACGAUCCGUAACUGGUCUGAGAGGAUGAUCAGUCACACUGGAACUGAGACACGGUCCAGACUCCUACGGGAGGCAGCAGUGGGGAAUAUUGGACAAUGGGCGAAAGCCUGAUCCAGCCAUGCCGCGUGUGUG
rnacentral:rRNA from 1 species